AUGAGGUGUCGACGGUUAACGGGAUCGCGCGCAGUAUGUGGAAUAGAAAUGAAUGUUGUAAUAGCUCAACUUGGCGUGAACUAGUAGCCGUUCAUCGGCUUUUACAUUCUUUAGUACAUAUUUUGCACGGGAGUCGUGUAAAUGGUUUACAGAUAACCAAGGAGUUGUCACCAUUGUAAAUAAAGGAAAGCCAUCUGGAGGAAAUACAAGAGUUGCCUGAAUGUCUAGUUGGUAAAAUAACAACGCUAACUGAUCUGCUGCACGAUUCUAAAUCUAAGAAUACAGUUUUGAAGUAUAGUAGAGGUUUUAUUAAAUGGAAACGGUGGGAAUUAUUUCACGAUAUUUCGAGUAGAGACAUUUUACCUGAUUUUACCUACACAUAAUAUGCGUAUUUUCAUUUAAAAGAGCAAAACAGAUAUUUAUAGAGAUGGUUCUUGGAUUCAAAACGCAAGAACCUUGACAGAUAUGUGUCCAGUUAAAAUUACAGAAAAGUACUUCACUCUUGCCGGUUUUGGUGCUGAUUCAGAUGAGUUCAUUUUUCGAAAGUUAAAGUACAAACAUGAUUGCCAAUUUCGAUGUAAUAAACUACUAUCGUAUACUCGUAUGCGAUAGCUUUUCAUUGAAGCCUUUAAAACCCUUUUUGUUAAUGAAAUAUCUUCUUAUGGACUACACAGUUUGCGCUCUGGUGAUGCUACAGCAUGUGCUAAUUUAGGUAUUACUGACAUAUUGUUUAAACGACAUUUGAGGUGAAAAUCAGAGUUUGCAAAAGAUGGUUAUAUAAAAGAUAACUUAAGUGAAUGCUUAUUUGUAUUCCAGAAUCUAGAAAUCUAAUUUAUAUAAUAUCCCGUUUUUUUGGAUUCAAGGCGAUGUGCUGUACGUCGUGUUUGUGUUUUAUCUAACUGUAUGUUUGGGCAUGUGGUGUUCAGGAGAACUAUAUAAAACGGUUAGCGUAACCAGUGACUAACGAAGUAUCAAAUCUGUUCGACCAAUACAAAAAAGUUGUGCUUAUUUGAGAAGAUAAUUUGUUUGCUGUUUGACUUGGGUUGUCCUAUUUAUUGAAAGUAUAACAUGGAGUGACACGUUUUGUAGUAAAACAGUUCACCAGUAUAAUGUGUUGUAAUGUUAACGAGAAAGACAAAAAAAAACCCUCGCAAAUGGGUCAAGUUAAGGUUUCGUUAUUGGUAUUACACAAGUGUCCCUUACUGGACUGUCUCCGUUCAAAAUUGUCAUUCUAUCUUUUAUUAAUUAAAGAUACGUUAUGUAAUAGAUAAAUCUGCAUGUCUUUAUUUAGCUUCAGGAGUUAUAUAAACUAUUAUUUUGACAUAUAUUCACAUGACUGUCUACAAUAAUCUACAAAUAGGUUUAUCUGUAGGAAUGUGAUCUGAAUGAAUGCCCUCCUUAUGACGGCGUUUAAAAGAUUGUUUAUUUUCGUUUAGGUCUAUAUAUAUUUGACAUUUACCAAUGUAAUUAAUCUUAUUAUGUAAUAAAUAUGCAA